rnacentral:rRNA from 1 species
GCUAGGACGAACGCUGGCGGCGUGCCUAACACAUGCAAGUCGAGCGAGGAGAUCCUCGGGAUGAUCCUAGCGGCGGACGGGUGAGUAACACGUGGGCAACCUGCCUCAUAGAGAGGAAUAGCCUUCCGAAAGGGAGAUUAAUACCUCAUAACAUUGCAGUUUCGCAUGGAACAGCAAUUAAAGGAGCAAUCCGCUAUGAGAUGGGCCCGCGGCGCAUUAGCUAGUUGGUGAGGUAACGGCUCACCAAGGCGACGAUGCGUAGCCGACCUGAGAGGGUGAUCGGCCACAUUGGGACUGAGACACGGCCCAGACUCCUACGGGAGGCAGCAGUGGGGAAUAUUGCACAAUGGGGGAAACCCUGAUGCCAGCAACGCCGCGUGAGUGAUGACGGCCUUCGGGUUGUAAAGCUCUGUCUUCAGGGACGAUAAUGACGGUACCUGAGGAGGAAGCCACGGCUAACUACGUGCCAGCCGCGGC